rnacentral:rRNA from 1 species
CAAUAGCGUAUAUUAAAGUUGUUGCAGUUAAAAAGCUCGUAGUUGGAUUUGUGGCGUACGGUGUGUUCCGGGCACUUGUUGUCUGAGUAACCUGCUGUUGCCAUCCUUGGGUGGAACCUGUGUGGCAUUAGGUUGUCGUGCAGGGGAUGCCCAUCAUUUACUUUGAAAAAAUUAGAGUGUUCAAAGCAGGCUUAUGCCGUUGAAUAUAUUAGCAUGGAAUAAUGAGAUAGGACUUUUUUGCUAUUUUGUUGGUUUGCGCAAAGAGGUAAUGAUUAAUAGGGACAGUUGGGGGUAUUCGUAUUCCAUUGUCAGAGGUGAAAUUCUUGGAUUUUUGGAAGACGAACUACUGCGAAAGCAUUUACCAAGGAUGUUUUCAUUAA